rnacentral:misc_RNA from 1 species
AUUUAUAGUAAAAUAAUAAAUUAUUUUGGUUUUUAAAGGUAAUCAAACGUUCAACACAAGAGUAUAUCGUCAAAUUUAAAGACAGCAGUUAUACUGUAAAGUCGCUCGUGCAUUUAAUUGACGGGUAUACACUAUACAACACCUCUGGCAAAAGUUUAAACCGGAAGUGUAGCUGACCUCCAUCGGCAACUUUAACGACUUGUAACUACGAUGCGACAGGACAGGUACAUCAUUGCAUCGCACCUACCUAUUCGAUUUGUCCCCGCAACAACGACAGCCAGACGAACAGUUGGACAACAGGGUGUUAGUCCCCAGUCGAUCCGAACCCGCCUACGCGAAGUUGGAUUGCAUUCCCGAGGACCCAGAAAGGGUGUUACACUAACUGUAAGACACCGCAAGGCCCGUUUUUGUUGGGCAAGGCAACAUUCAAGACUCACUAGGGCCGACUGGGCUAAUGUUUUGUUUGUUGAUGAAACUCAUGCUGACGGCCAUACACUUGUUUACCGUCAUUGGGGUGAGAGAAAUGCGGCUAAUUGUGUGCUUGAAGCAGAUUGUUAUGGCGGAGGAUCAGUUAUGAUUUGGGCUGGCAUUUCGAUGCACACCAAACCGAUAUGGUUAUUGUGGACAGAAGCCUUAUUGCCAGGCGCUACCAGGACCAGAUUAGCACCUCUGUAUUAAUUCCCCAUGUUAGAGUUAACCGUGGCAUGUGCUUAGUGCAGGACAAUGCAACUUGUCACACAGCAAGGACCAUGCAGCAGAUGCUCCAAAACAACAACAUUCGUGUGUUGCCAUGGCCCUCAAAAAGUUCAGAUCUUAGUCCAAUUGAGCAUGUUUGGGACCUUUUAAAAUGUAAAGUAAGAAGCUCCCUGAGCCCUUUAACUUACGUGAUCUUGGUGCUUUGAUCAUAUGGGCAUGGAAUGGGAUCCCUCAAAGGAAAAUUCAACGCUACAUUACCUCCAUGCGAUCCCGAUGUUGGGCAGUGAUUGCAGCACAAGGCGGUCAUACAAGAUAUUGAUCUUUUGUGACUUUUGAAAUGAAGGGUUGGUUAGAUAAAACUGGUGUCAAUUCUAAACUGUUGAUGAGAAUGAACUGAAAUUUUGCUGAACUUUAACUCUUUGGGGCCGAAAUGCAACUAAAGGCGCUAUAUUUUCUACCCCUGUAGCGUCGAUAUCCGACUAUACGCGCAUUAUCAGGACUCCCUAGGACGGCGAUUGACGAGUAUAGUCGCGGCACCGAGAUCAUGCUGAU